CCCCCCCCCCUCCGAGCCUCCCCACCGCUCCACGCAGGUGCGCCCGCCUAAUCCCCCACAUUCCCACGGCACAGCACACACUGUUUCGUUUUUCCUUUUCGUUCGCUCUGAUCUUGUUUCGAUCAUGAAAACAAUGAGCAGGCGCAACAGCCGCACCAUCUAUGUAGGCAACCUCCCUGGGGACAUCCGUGAGAGGGAGGUUGAGGACCUCUUCUACAAGUAUGGUCGAAUUUUGGAUAUUGACCUGAAGAUACCUCCAAGACCUCCUGGAUACGCUUUCGUCGAGUUUGAGGAUCCACGUGAUGCUGAUGACGCGAUUUAUGGGCGUGAUGGGUAUAACUUUGAUGGCUACAGGUUGCGGGUUGAAUUAGCUCAUGGUGGAAGAGGUCAGUCUUACUCUUAUGAUCGUUCUAGCAGCUAUAGCAGUGCACGUCGUGGAGGUGUUUCUAGGCGCUCUGAUUACCGUGUUAUGGUCACGGGUUUACCUUCAUCGGCAUCGUGGCAAGAUCUGAAGGACCACAUGCGACGCGCCGGUGAUGUUUGUUUCUCGGAUGUAUACCGUGAGGCCGGAGAAACUAUUGGAGUUGUGGAUUAUACAAACUAUGACGACAUGAAAUAUGCGAUAAGGAAGCUUGAUGACUCACUGUUCAGAAAUGCAUUUUCUAGGGCGUAUAUCAGAGUGCGGGAGUAUGAUGCUAGAUCACGAAGCAGAAGCCGUAGCCGCUCGUACUCGAGAAGCCCCAGUUACAGCAGGAGCAGGAGUCCAAAAUCUGUUUCUCGGUCACCAUCACCUGUGGAUGAAAGAUCUGGCCAUGCCGGCGAUCUGGGGACUGCAUUGAUAGAUUAUUGGAUGUAUUGAGAAUCGGAGUGGAUGGUUUGGGACUUUGGAUAGUAGAGCUGGAUUGUGAUGCAUGUAUGACAAGUGGGCUACAACCAGUCCUAGGAGCAAGAUAGGACUGACAAUCGCUAUCAAGAUCCGGAUCCCCUGUCUCUUCUCCUUCUCGUGGAAGAUCUGCUAGCAGAAGCCCCAGGAGCAGAAGCGCAUCCCGUUCUCGUUCUCCUGUGAGAUCUGAUUGAACUAGGGAACCCUUGAAGCGGUGAGCAACUAUAACCAGAGAGACAGAAGGAAGCUGAGAACAUGCACUACCAUCACAAUGGUCUGAAUGAUUCUGUUGUUGCCGCUGCACCCCCUCAUUUGGGAGGUUUCCUCUUAUUUAGUAUUUAAUAAUGACAUUAUAUUGCUAAAGAGAGCCUUUUUUGCCUAUCCUACUGGUGUAAACUGAACUUCUGUGUCCUGGGCUCCUGGCACUCAGGUUUCAUCACUUACCCUAUAGUAAGUGGUUGUUACUAUCUACUCUCCGGUAGCCUGUUUUACAUUGACACUUUUAUGCAGCGGCACGCACCUCUUUCAAUUGGUCGCUUGUAAGCAUAGUUGAGGGGUCGAUGUACUCGGUUAUUUGGUUUCUGUGUGCUUCUGAGAUAUUAUUAGAAUGCUUUGUACUCAGUUAUUUGGUUUCUGUGUGCUACUGAUACAUUAUUAGAAUGGCAGCAUUGAUCUUCUUUGGAACA